rnacentral:sRNA from 1 species
UUCUUACAAAGUAUUAAUGUUAUAAUUAUCUAACAAAACAAGUGCAGUACAAGCAUUGGCAGUGCAAGUUUCUCUAAACUGCCCAGUCAAGUGCCUCAAUCCUAAAUUGGCACAAUUGUCUUGAGGGAUGAGAGGGUAGUUCAUUUUCCAUGACUAGCCAAAUCCCUGGCUUCU